UUCAGAGUCGCUUGUCUCAUCC
rnacentral:miRNA from 1 species